GUUCACAGUUGCACAGGUAAGGCAAACAGUGGCUACUGCCUGGAGCCCUGCAGUACCCUGGAUAAGGCGCUUCGCCCUUUGGCAACCAUCUUCUUGUGUUCCCAUACAAAUAUGGUUCCAGCUCGCGUUUGCUAAAGGGAACUAUAGCGGUACGUAUUUUGAAACUGCCCGGUACCAAAUAAUGGACGUACGCUGCGAAUGUUAUGUACCCCUGAAAAAUACGAGGUUUGUGAUUUCUGACAAAAUCAUUAUAUUUGGGGUAUGAAAUAGUAUUGAGUAGUGGGAUUAUUGUUUCCAACAAAACAAGAUAAACAUCAUGCUAGCAGAAAUAAGUUUUAUUUAUUACAUAAUAUCUUUGUUAUUUCCUAGCCUAGCUACAAUAAUAAAUCAUUCAUUAUAUUCUGAGUGUAAUAAGUAUAAUAACUUACGUGAAUACCAGUUAUCUGGAAAUCUAUAGGAUGUAUAAUCAUCUCAAGUACUUUUUUUGUAUUGCAUCAAUUUCAAGAAGUACCUAUUAUACGGUGUUAUUGCAGUGCAAUCAAUUACAGUACGGUUUCAAUUAAAAAUUAUGUUUCAUUUUUAUUCUGUAUUUCCUUGUUCUUGUGGUUACACGAUAGGAGUAAUAAUUAACAUGAACUAUUUUUUUUACGUACCUAACUUACUAGAUUUUUUUCGCAUUUUAUUUCUUUU